rnacentral:rRNA from 1 species
GAAGCGAGGCUGUGAAGCGGAGCAAAUCUCAAAAACCGGUCCCAGUUCGGAUUGUAGGCUGCAACUCGCCUACAUGAAGUCGGAGUUGCUAGUAAUCGCGGAUCAGAAUGCCGCGGUGAAUGCGUUCCCGGGCCUUGUACACACCGCCCGUCACACCAUGGAAGUUGGGGGCGCCCGAAGUUGCCUAAGAAAUAAGGUACCUAAGGCGAAACCAAUGACUAGGGUGAAGUCGUAACAAGGUAAC